CAAAAUAUAUCACAUGCCAGUUACUUGAAUUAGGAUCAUGGGGAGAAGGGAAUCAUUAGAGAGCAGAAGAAACUCUAACGCAUAAAGAAAACUUAUCCGUUUGUCUCCUCAGCGCCGCCUGGUUUAUUUCCUCUUCAGGCGCUGACAGCACUGAUGAGGCAGAGGAUGCUGUAAUCCUGAGCGAUUGCUUUUGGGGGGAGCAUCAUUAGGGCUGGGAGUGUUUGAGACAGGGGGAGCUCUGCAUUUCCAGGCCCUUUUCCUCGGUCACUCGGCGGCGUUGGGCGGUGCUGCGAGGUGGAGGCGCAGCCUGGAUCAGGUAUUUCCCUCCUGGAGCCGUUUCCUUUGCUCUCAGAGUGCCUUGGAAAGCCAGUGGUGCUAAUUAGAGGAGUUCUUGAUACAGAGCUCUGGGAAUGCUGAUGAGAAGCACACAAAAGGCUGGAGUGCCUCUUCUGCAGAGCGCUGGAUGCUCAAACGCAGCACCCUCUGGACUGUCACUGCCCUGCUCCCCCACACUGCCUCAUCUUUGGGACAUCAUGGCAUUGAUUUUAGAGGUGGGACAGACCAGCCUUUCUGAUUCAGCCAGCCUGAAUCCUCACCUAGGGGGCCCAUCACACCUGAGAGUCACUGACUGGCACGGAGCAAAAGGAGAUGCUUUGGCCAAGGACGCUCAAGGCAGGGAGAUGUAAGCAGCACAAAGAUUACUCCAAGAGGAGUCCUUUUUGUGCACCCCAGCAACACGAGCCGGAUGCAGAAGGAAAACGGAAGACUUUCUCCGGAUACAGAGAGGAUCAAGCAGAAUCUCAUUAAGGACCACUUCAAAGAUCAGUUCUUCAUUUCCAUACAAACAAGUUUAAAUUAUCUUGUGCGAAUCUGCUGUUAGCUGUUGCACUGUUCCAUUAUGCAUGAUUCUUGACUGCUUGUAUCGUGCAAAUCUGCACAGGGCUCCAUUAGUGAUUUUCAGUGUUAUGCUAAAGCUUGCAAGUGGUCAUGUUAUUAGGUUAAAGUACUAUAUUUUGCAUAUUUAUUCUGCCUUACCACAUUUAUUACUUCUGAUACUGCCCAAGCAGAAUUUUGCAUGCAUUUGACCACCUGCUUUGCAUGGCUUGUGACUGCCACCACAGCCAGGGACAGCUUGAGUAAGGACAGGUUCCUUGCUCCCUCUUCCACUGUGGUUUUGAUCCACUUCUGGAAAAAAACACAAUUCCUGCAGAGAGGCACCGUGGAUCUAUCAGCCUGCAUCUACAAAUUAAUCCUUUUAAAUAACUCAAAAGAAACUACGUGACAAAUUUCAUUACGGCAUAAAUUACUGCUUUUAUUACAAAGGAUUUGUUUAUACAUUUUGGUAAUUUAAAGAAGCUUUACCUGGGAUUUUUCAUCUAUAAAAAUAAAAGUGCUAUCAUUUGGUUUGUAGGUCUUUAUAUUUGUCUUACUUCUGGGAAGCACCAUAUUAUUAACUUUCAUGGAAUACAUUCCAUUCUCAAAUUACUGAAAUCAUCUCGCUCGCUUUGGGGAUAUUUGUAUUAGGAAAGAGACUUGUUACAAAAAUCAGGAGCAGAGCUGGUGUGUUACAAAGACAAAUAUAUCAUUCAUUAUCCUCAUGAAAAUAAUUCACCUGUUACAUAUUGGUUAUUUUGCAAAUCUUUGAGACACAGAUGAGUGCUCCGGGGAUGCAGAGGGAGAACAAGGGCAGCAGAACCCAGAGGUGCCAAAAGCCUUCCUAGCAAGACUUGGACAGGUCUUUUGGGUUGGCUUUUUUCUUUUUUCCUUUUUAAUUGCAGGAGAAUAUAUAAAAGACAACAACAGAAUUUCCUUCUGCUUCCCAGACUGGGCAUUCCUUUAAACAAUAACGUUGGAUUGACCAUUCAGCUGCACCUGAGUGUGCCAGCAUCUGGUGAGACCACGACUGAGAGGAAGUGUUCAUCUUUUCCAGCAAAUCCUGCGGCGUGCAGUUACGUGAAACACUCUGGGAGCUUCCCCAGCAAUCCCCAAGGGUCAGUCCCACCCUGCUGUGCUGAGCCGGGCAGAGGGCUGGGAAGUUUGGAAUGCUAUGGCCACUUUUGGGCUCCUCAACACAAGAGAGACCUGGAGCUCCUGGAGCAGGUCCAGUGACAAAGACGCUGAAGGGCUGGAGCAUCUCCCUGCCCAGGAAAGGCUGAGGGAGCUGGGGCUCUUCAGCCUCCAGAGGAGCCACCCGGGCACCAUCCUCAUCCAGGUGGGUACAGGUGAUGCAG